rnacentral:rRNA from 1 species
AACGAACGCUGGCGGCAGGCCUAACACAUGCCAGUCGAGCGAGGACUUCGGUUCUAGCGGCGGACGGGUGAGUAACGCGUGGGAAUGUGCCCUUCUCUACGGCAUAGCCCUGGGAAACUGGGAGUAAUACCGUAUACGCCCUAUUGGGGAAAGAUUUAUCGGAGAAGGAUCAGCCCGCGUUGGAUUAGGUAGUUGGUGGGGUAAUGGCCUACCAAGCCGACGAUCCAUAGCUGGUUUGAGAGGAUGAUCAGCCACACUGGGACUGAGACACGGCCCAGACUCCUACGGGAGGCAGCAGUGGGGAAUCUUAGACAAUGGGGGCAACCCUGAUCGAGCCAUGCCGCGUGAGUGAUGAAGGCCUUAGGGUUGUAAAGCUCUUUCAGCUGGGAAGAUAAUGACGGUACCAGCAGAAGAAGCCCCGGCUAACUCCGUG